UGUUUUGUGGUCUAGCGGUUAGAACGCUGGCCUUGUAAUCCUGGGGUCUCGGGUUCGAUUCCCGGCGGUGCCC
rnacentral:tRNA from 1 species